GUCUGGGUGGCUCAGUCGGUUGAGCGUCUGACUUCGGCUCAGCUCAUGAUCUCACAGUCUGUGAGUUCGAGCCCCACGUCGGGCU
rnacentral:tRNA from 1 species